UUAGGCUUCAACUGGGCUUUAUCGUGCGCUGAUCUUCUUCGACGUUAGGCCCAGCGUCACCAUCUUCUACAGAAACCCUAAACAACGCUCUCUUCGUGUUCUUCGUCUGAGUCGAUCGGCGCAGCGACCGUGUAGAUUCCGUAACUGUCUGUUUGUCUUAAAUCGUCUUUAAUCCCCAUUAUGUAACUAUAUGUUUGUCUUAAAUCGUCUGCUAGAUCGUGUAUAAAUAUGAUGGUAAUCUCACCGAUGUGAACAAAAAGCGCCGCCGCUACAGAGCCGGUUAACAACCCCCGUAAUAGGCUUAGCCAGAGAUGCCUCCAGCUCUUCGAUACACAUGUGAAGUUCAGAGCCGACGGAUCUGGUUUGUCGUCGUAUUCUUCUAGGUCACGGCAGAAAGAUGAUUGAGAAGUUCCAUCUUAUUGCGGCACACCAGCCUAACCUGAAAGUGGUUCGGUCUAGAAAUAAUGAAGGAAAGACGAGGAUAGAGUGGUUAAGAAGAAUGAAGGUCUGCCCCAGGCUUUGUUGGGAAGCUACAAUGAUCGUGCAGUGCAUCUUCACGCUUCUUCUAUAGAUUGUGUAUUUCAAAGUAUUUUUCAAAUGGAGUGAUGAAACUUGCUGUUGAGGGGCCUGACAUGACUGAGUAGCUUCUCAUGAAACAUUUGCUCAAAUUUGAUGGCAUCAAGGGAGAAGGGGAAUCAAAAGUACAACGAAAAGAAGGGUGGUGAACGACAUGGAUCAGGUACUUAUGACUGAUGAGUUAUGAGGCUUUUGGAUGAGUUGCAGUGAUCUGAUUUGACUAUGAACAAACUUUCGGGAAGUUAGACUGUAAACGUUACGGCUUUUUGGAUGACUAAUAUGUAGGGAACUCUUUCUGCGGAAGCCAUUGGAAUGUCCAUUGUACUUUUCCAGUUUUCGCAGCUGCAUUGUUACUUUUCUUGGCUGAAAUGCGUGAACUCGAUGUUACAGGUUAGCAACAGUAAAACUCAAAGGUACUUAAGCAGCAUGAGGAAGAAGAAGGCUAUUCCUUCCUCACCUAAGUUUCCACGUGCUGAACCUCUUACUUCGUCUGCUAAAAAGACUCGAUCUUCAUAACCAAUUGCUGUUGUACAUUAUUCAGAGAAUCAGAGCUGAAGACGAGGAUAAUGACGGUACUGACAACAAUAAGAACGUUGAUCAAGAUACAUUGCCUUCGUUUUCUUCUUAUGGAGAGAGCCUUUCGUGGAUAAUUACUUAUGUGAGAAUUGUGCUUCGUAUGGUUUAGCUAAGAGAGCCUCUGCUUAAUUAACAUUUCAUCACACUGGAUAGUGCAGAUUUAGCUUAAUAUAAAGUGUUUGCAAAACAGAAAAACAACACAUACACUCAUUAUGGUUGUGCAAAACAAACGAUUUAUAUGUAUAUAUUAGAUAAGAAAAACACAUGUUUCCUCUAAUUUUCAAGAUCAGGGAAAGAAAGCACAAAACUA